UCGUAGUGACUGCGGAGGAUCAUUACCGAGUGAGGGCCCUCUGGGUCCAACCUCCCACCCGUGUUUAUUUUACCUUGUUGCUUCGGCGGGCCCGCCUUAACUGGCCGCCGGGGGGCUUACGCCCCCGGGCCCGCGCCCGCCGAAGACACCCUCGAACUCUGUCUGAAGAUUGAAGUCUGAGUGAAAAUAUAAAUUAUUUAAAACUUUCAACAACGGAUCUCUUGGUUCCGGCAUCGAUGAAGAACGCAGCGAAAUGCGAUACGUAAUGUGAAUUGCAAAUUCAGUGAAUCAUCGAGUCUUUGAACGCACAUUGCGCCCCCUGGUAUUCCGGGGGGCAUGCCUGUCCGAGCGUCAUUGCUGCCCUCAAGCCCGGCUUGUGUGUUGGGCCCCGUCCCCCGAUCUCCGGGGGACGGGCCCGAAAGGCAGCGGCGGCACCGCGUCCGGUCCUCGAGCGUAUGGGGCUUUGUCACCCGCUCUGUAGGCCCGGCCGGCGCUUGCCGAUCAACCCAAAUUUUUAUCCAGGUUGACCUCGGAUCAGGUAGGGAUACCCGCUGAACUUAAGCAUAUCAAUAAGCCGGAGGAAA
rnacentral:rRNA from 1 species